UAUUCUUCGUGAAUUUGAAGUCUGGAGGAAAGCCAUAAAGUUUGUGAUACUUUUCAAUAAUAUGUCCUGGUUUUUUGAAAUACCUACACAAUAAGGAGUUGACUUUUCGUUUUGGAUCAGAAUUCGCCCUUUGAUUGUAUGAUCUACCACUGUUGGAUACAGAAGAUGAAGAGGAUGGAGCAAAAAACGAUGCUGAAACAUUAGAAAAACUAGGGAAAG
rnacentral:misc_RNA from 1 species